rnacentral:rRNA from 1 species
UACAGAGGGUGCAAGCGUUGUUCGGAAUUACUGGGCGUAAAGCGUGCGUAGGUGGUUUGUUAAGUCUGAUGUGAAAGCCCUGGGCUCAACCUGGGAAUUGCAUUGGAUACUGGCAGGCUAGAGUGCGGUAGAGGGUAGUGGAAUUCCCGGUGUAGCAGUGAAAUGCGUAGAGAUCGGGAGGAACAUCCGUGGCGAAGGCGACUACCUGGACCAGCACUGACACUGAGGCACGAAAGCGUGGGGAGCGAACAGG